rnacentral:rRNA from 1 species
UACGUAGGGUGCGAGCGUUAAUCGGAAUUACUGGGCGUAAAGCGUGCGCAGGCGGUUCGUUAAGACAGAUGUGAAAUCCCCGGGCUUAACCUGGGAACUGCAUUUGUGACUGGCGAGCUAGAGUAUGGCAGAGGGGGGUAGAAUUCCACGUGUAGCAGUGAAAUGCGUAGAUAUCUGGAGGAACACCGGUGGCGAAGGCGGCAUCCUGGACCAAUACUGACACUGAGGAGCGAAAGCCAGGGGAGCAAACGGG